rnacentral:rRNA from 1 species
AUUGAACGCUGGCGGCAGGCCUAACACAUGCAAGUCGAGCGAGCGGCGGACGGGUGAGGAAUGUAUGGGGACUGCCCGAUAGAGGGGGAUAACGACGGGAAACGGUCGCUAAUACCGCAUACAAUCGGAUAACCCAUAUGGGAUUAGCUAGGAGGUGAGGUAAUGGCUCACCUAGGCGACGAACCGUAGCUGGUCUGAGAGGAUGAUCAGCCACACUGGGACUGAGACACGGCCCAGACUCCUACGGAGGCAGCAGUGGGGAAUAUUGCACAAUGGGCGCAAGCCUGAUGCAGCCAUGCCGCGUGUAUGAAGAAGGCCCUCGGGUUGUAAAGUACUUUCAGUCGGGAGGCGUUACCGACAGAAGAAGCACCGGCUAACUCCGUGCCAGCAGCCGCGGUAAUUC